GGGGGCGUAGCUCAGAUGGUAGAGCGCACGCUUAGCGUGUGGGAGGUACGAGGAUCGAUACACCGCGCCUCCA